GUCCACGCUGUAAACGAUGGAUACUAGACGUGGCGGGAAUUGACCCCUGCCGUGUCGAAGUUAACACGAUAAGUAUCCCGCCUGGGGAGUACGGUCGCAAGACUAAAACUCAAAGGAAUUGACGGGGGCCCGCACAAGCGGUGGAUCAUGUGGUUUAAUUCGAAACAACGCGAAGAACCUUACCUGGGUUUGACAUCCCAUUGAACAUUUUUUAGAGAUAGAGAUGGGCUCGCAAGAGACAAUGGUGACAGGUGCUGCAUGGCUGUCGU
rnacentral:rRNA from 1 species